CAAUACAGAAGCCCUAAUCAGAGGCACGAGUAGGCCUUAUGCGCAUCGAUUUCAUGCAGUGUGUUUGGAGGAGUGAGCUGAAAUGAAGACAGAGUGACGGAGGACACGAGCACUAGGCAUGCUGUCAACAUUUAAAUAUCAUCAGCUGUUCUUUGUUUGUAAUGCUGCCCCACGGUUGAUGAGCACAGUUCUGACAGCCAACUGUCCAACUAGCCCAGGACGGCCACCGCGGCCUGGCCUCUGGAGAAACCUCGUCAACCAACUAGGGUCAAGGACCGUCACUGAUUGACAGGUCCUGGUUGUGAGAACAGCAGUCUAAGUGGAGACGCCCAGACCUUCCCCUGUUCUCAGCCACCCACCUUUAAGGACGACAUUCAGGCACAUAAUCUCUCGAAUGUGUGCUGGGUCUACCCUGGGGCCUCCUCCCACUUGGACAUGCCUCAAAUAUUGUAUAAUGUGGAUUGGGUAGUGGUCGGUGGUAGAGUCCUUGGCGGUCCAGCCGCUGCUUGCUGAAGUGACUUGUAUUUGUGAUCAAGGCAAAUCAUUUUGAUUGAAUUGUUGUAAUUUCUUCUCAGAGUGAAGUAACUCAAGGUCACACUUUUUUAGGAUUUCUACUGAUUUUGACCAGUGGAGACUUUUAAAGCAGCAGGAAACUCAAUUUUUAA